UCAGGACACUUAUCAUCUCACUGCAUAAGAUGGUCAAGCCUAUUCCCUCUCAUUAGGACCCUGAGAUAAGACCGUGGAUACCUACUAAGAUAAGGAUGCGAAAAUAACGUGGUUACUGAGUAUAUUUUUAUACUCCCCUUUUUUUUUUUUUUUUUCAGGUACCAAUUGAUACGGGGAGGUGUUCGAGAGGUGCACUAUCAUGAGGGGUGUCGUUCCGGAGCGUCAAUCCCUUAUUCAAGGAUCUCUCAACGAAAGAUCGAACGAAACGCCAGUGGGGCAGAAUCAGAAUGUGCCUGCCGGUGGUGCUCUGCUUUUUUUAUUAUAUCUUCCAAUCAAAGAUUGGACGAAACGUCAGUGGGGCACCUCAAGUGUUCGAUGAAAUGCGCCAAAGAGACGUGGGGGCUUUGGAGCGCAAUGUUAAUGCAACUGCCCAUGUCCUGAAAGGCACUUUUCUUGAGCUUCUGCCAUGGCUGAAAGUGAAGAGCUUCCUGAGAGAGAUGGUGAGGAACCUAUGAAGAAGAAAGAACAGA